rfam:Ornithorhynchus anatinus Cont36.256, whole genome shotgun sequence.
GGUAUUUACAUAUCUGGGGAAAAUUUCGAUUAUAAAUUUUAAGAUCUUCUGUAUUUAAGUGUCAACAUCGAUUUAUUUAUUUAUUGCUGAGCUGAUCGUAACUGACUCAAUAACAAAUCUAAUCAUGUUUUGCCCUGGAAAAGAACUAUCCUCAUUAUGUAUUUUCGCCAAAUUAUAGCACACUAUUCCACUUGAAUACCAGCUGUAAAUAUCAAUAAUAUCAAGUAAUUACU